CCUUUGCCGGCGACCGGCGUACGGGUGAGUAACACGUAUGCAACCUGCCCUCUUCAGGGGGACAACCUUCCGAAAGGGAGGCUAAUCCCGCGUAUAUCGGUUUCGGGCAUCCGAGAUCGAGGAAAGAUUCAUCGGAAGAGGAUGGGCAUGCGGCGCAUUAGCUAGACGGCGGGGUAACGGCCCACCGUGGCGACGAUGCGUAGGGGUUCUGAGAGGAAGGUCCCCCACACUGGUACUGAGACACGGACCAGACUCCUACGGGAGGCAGCAG
rnacentral:rRNA from 1 species